rnacentral:misc_RNA from 1 species
AAAACACAAAACUCACCAACUUCUUUUGAGCCUAACAACUACAAAGCAAUCAACGCAACAAUACUUCUAAUCCCUAAACGCAAGAACGCAUCAACACACCAAAACCCACCACGCCACCAAUUUUAAUCUCUUGAAAUCAACAUAGCACCUUUGCAGUUCUGCUCAUCCAUGAAUCUGGUCCUUUCUUCUUUCUCACUGUCGCAGCUCUUCAUUGUCAAGGAGACCGAUAGCGAUUCACGAUGCUCACUUAUAAGAUUCACCAUUGGAGGGCGACGAGGAUGCAACCUCCUCAAUCCCAUCAUGGCAGGCCUCAAGUGCUUUCAUCCAUGAAAGAUGUUUUAUCCCUUUCAUGCUGUUACCCGUCUCAGCGUCUGGCAAGCUCGCUUGCUCCUUUGCUCCUUAUUGUACGUACCAUGCAACAAUUAUUGAUAAGUUAUGUUUGAUUGUUGAUGUCUUGAUGACAUUUUUUAUUUUGUUGAUAAUAUAAUUAUUGAAUUAAA